UGCAGUCGAGCGAACAGAUAAGGAGCUUGCUCCUUUGACGUUAGCGGCGGACGGGUGAGUAACACGUGGAUAACCUACCUAUAAGACUGGGAUAACUUCGGGAAACCGGAGCUAAUACCGGAUAACAUAUUGAACCGCAUGGUUCAAUAGUGAAAGGCGGCUUUGCUGUCACUUAUAGAUGGAUCCGCGCCGUAUUAGCUAGUUGGUAAGGUAACGGCUUACCAAGGCAACGAUACGUAGCCGACCUGAGAGGGUGAUCGGCCACACUGGAACUGAGACACGGUCCAGACUCCUACGGGAGGCAGCAGUAGGGAAUCUUCCGCAAUGGGCGAAAGCCUGACGGAGCAACGCCGCGUGAGUGAUGAAGGUCUUCGGAUCGUAAAACUCUGUUAUCAGGGAAGAACAAAUGUGUAAGUAACUGUGCACAUCUUGACGGUACCUGAUCAGAAAGCCACGGCUAACUACGUGCCAGCAGCCGCGGUAAUACGUAGGUGGCAAGCGUUAUCCGGAAUUAUUGGGCGUAAAGCGCGCGUAGGCGGUUUUUUAAGUCUGAUGUGAAAGCCCACGGCUCAACCGUGGAGGGUCAUUGGAAACUGGAAAACUUGAGUGCAGAAGAGGAAAGUGGAAUUCCAUGUGUAGCGGUGAAAUGCGCAGAGAUAUGGAGGAACACCAGUGGCGAAGGCGACUUUCUGGUCUGUAACUGACGCUGAUGUGCGAAAGCGUGGGGAUCAAACAGGAUUAGAUACCCUGGUAGUCCACGCCGUAAACGAUGAGUGCUAAGUGUUAAGGGGGUUUCCGCCCCUUAGUGCUGCAGCUAACGCAUUAAGCACUCCGCCUGGGGGAGUACGACCGCAAGGUUGAAACUCAAAGGAAUUGACGGGGACCCGCACAAGCGGUGGAGCAUGUGGGUUUAAUUCGAAGCAACGCGAAGAACCUUACCAAAUCUUGACAUCCUUUGACCGCUCUAGAGAUAGAGUCUUCCCCUUCGGGGGACAAAGUGACAGGUGGGGGCAUGGUUGUCGUCAGCUCGUGUCGUGAGAAGUUUGGGGUUAAGUCCCGCAACGAGCGCAACCCUUAAGCUUAGUUGCCAUCAUUAAGUUGG
rnacentral:rRNA from 1 species